CCCCCUCUUAGUGCAAUAAAAUAAAAGAGAGGGGGAGCAGAAGAAGGCAGCAGCAUCAAUGAUGAGGAAAAUCUCCAGCUGUCUGGUCAGGAGCAUGCCAACAAUAACAGUGCAGGACCUUAUCACAGCUGCUCACUGAUGUCUCAUGUCUGCAUUGUGGGGGAUAGCAGCAAUGAGCUUCAGAAAUUACAAAGACUCCGGAGAGACAUCUCUGGGAGCGAUGAGAUGAGCUGCAGUGAUUCAUACGGUUUCCAAGGAGACGGGAAUCUCAUGAGCCAGUUGAGAAGCAUCGGAUGAGCUGAGCCCGUGGCACUGCCUUGGGAUCGUGCCCUUCCAGGUCAGUGGACACUUGAAUCUCAUUGAAAG